rnacentral:lncRNA from 1 species
CAUACAUAUGGAGUAAGAUGAGAGACCAGCACCUCAAACUGUUUUCUGGAAUGAUUAAUUGCUGAGCAACAAAGGAUUCCCCAAAUCCUCAGCCUCUUCAUGGCUUGCAAUUAAUACAUCUUCACUGACAAUGUCACUGGCAGGAAGGGAAAAAGGGCUCAUUUUAAAUAGUGAACACACUUCCGUGAGACCCAAACUGAAGCUAAGCUUUUCAUAGCUGCUUUUUAUUUUCUUUGUCUUGAGCUAAAUAACCUCUAAAUAAGGGAAAUCUCUUUUAAGUUAUGAUGUGACCAUGGCACAAAGUAUUAGCCUUUCGAAACACCCCAACCUAAUUUCUUUCCUUUCUUUGAAACACUAAACAUGAGGUCCUAAAUUAGAAAAUGCAUAGAUUUUUCUGUUAUAAUCCCAUUUAUUAAGGUCUGACAAAAUAACUUCAUCUAGUUAAAUCUAGUUGCAGUUCACUAAGAUUUAUUGAAGGGAAGUGUAAUGCAUCUAUUUAAAAGGAGAGCUGGGCACAUUGACUAUAUUCAGAGUUUAUGGUGAUUUAGCAGAAAUGUACAGGACAUUUGUUUUUCCCUUCUGAGUUAUUUUCUGGCAUUUAAAAAAAUGUCAAUAAGGGGAAAAAUAAUAAACUAUAAAAUGUAAUUUUUUUUUCUCCAAAGAAUUAUCACAUGGGUUU